GUGUCCUUGGUGUAACGGUUACACACAAUCUUCUAUUAAUUUAGGACAUAGCAAAUUUGAGAUUGAGUCUGGGGUUUGACCCCCCGAGGACGGA